AAAAAAAAUAAUGACAAUGCAUGGUGUAUCAAUAAACUGCGCCCAAAAUUUUUAGUGAUGAGACUGUCCCCCAUUCACGUAAUGUACUUUUGACAACCUAGCACCGAUGUUCUUUUGUGUGAAUAAUAUAAUUUUUAGGUAGAAACGUGAAGUAAGAAAGCGAAUCAAACUUCUGAGGACAACCGAUUCUACGUGCAAGGGGUUGUACUUAGAAGCGCUAAGGUAGUAAACCAGAAGUGACGUUGUUUAAGAGGCGACUCUUGGCCAGGGUACUGCUUAUGUGAAUGUACUCGCGUUUCGUAGUUAGAUAGAAUUGUGCGCGGGAGCGAAUUCUUUUUAUUUUGUACUAAUUGUUGACCACUGUUACGAGAGGCAGUCAGUUUAGUGAUCGAAAGUUUGUGCUGUUUCAGUGUAACAUUUCAAGACAGGGACUUUGUGUUUAAUUCUUCUGGCUAAUCCUAUUUUCUGUAGUGCCUGGUGGUUGGGCCUUUGUACCUGAGCGGGGAGCAAAAAUGACAAAAAAGACUGCCGAAAAGAAUACAGUUCAGGAGCUCGAUGGGGAGGGAGAGCAAACCAGUCGAGAGGUAGAAAUGGCCAAACAGAGCCCAGGCCACGAAAUUGAAAAAAAUGAAGCUGAGGAGAAAAAGGAGGAGAAAAAGGAGGA